AUCACUUUGCAUUAAAAUGACAGACACAAGCUUUAAUUAAUCCGAAUUUUAAAUACCCUCAAGGGCUGAAUUCCGUGCAUCAAAACAUCUCGGGGAAAAGCUGGACACUUCAUGGCCGAGCGUCCCUACAGAAAUAUUUUUAUUUGGAUGAAAUAUAUGUUAUAAUGUACAAGUAUAACUGUACUCAUUUGCAUCAGGAAAUAAUAUUAAUGUUGACAUUCGUUUGAAGUUCCGUCAACACUCAUCUGAAAACCCUAGGUUUUCUCCGAAUGACUUCUUCCGUUUCCAAACAAGGAAUUUGAACAGGAUGGGGUUCACGACCUCUGGUUCAAGACAGUUCCAUGUUGGAAUCCGUGGGUGUUAUGCGGGAUAUUUCCGAUAAAUUUACGCAAUUGACGUGAAUCUUACUAAUAAAAUAAAAAUCUUUUGUGUGAUAUUGUGAAGAUUUUUGAAUAUUGAAAGAUUGAUAUUUGAAAUAAGUAUCAACUACAAUGACAAAACUUUAUAACUUUCUUGUGUGUCCUAUGACCGGCGUACUGGUGUAAGCAGUCAGUGGCUUACUAACACAACCCCCGGCUUAAAAUUUUCACGGAUUUCAACCUGGUUCAGCAUUGGCUACAUACAGUAAAAUAUACAUGUCGUCAUCGAGACAUUAAAUAUUUGAUAUAUUUCAUCACGUAAGUGUGCUGGAAAAUCUCCGGUAGCACCAGGGGCGUAGGAACCGGGGGGACGGGGUGGCACGUGCCCCGCCCCCCCCCUUUUUCAAAGGACAAAAAGUGCCCUUUUUUGUGAUGAAAAGUGCCCUUUUUGUACAAGCUAAUGUCGCUGUAAAUACUAAAUUAACAUCUAAGUUGCCCUUUAUGUUUUUAAAAUAUUUGGUUAAAAAACGGGCAAUUUCGGUCCCUUUAUGUUUUUAAAAUAUUUGGUUAAAAAACGGGCAAUUUCGGUAUAGU